GUGCCAGAUCUCAAAUCACAAAUGGUCAUGCUAGAACUGCCCAGGUUGUAUUUCCCUGAGACAAUCCAUGGACCUUUUCCUGAGUUAGUAAAUUUCCUGAGUUAGUAAAUUUUGGACCUCCCUUGAAAAAUCAGAAGACCUGGUGAUGCCCUCGGCAUCCGGUUCCCACCUGGAGCCAAUUGGCUCAUGCUGGAGCCAAUUAGCUCAUGCUGAAGAGCGCCCUCUCUCGUUCAUUAAGGUUCCGCCCAGGCCUUGCGCAUGUCUUUUCCCUGCCUGCUUUUCACAGCCCGGUGCCAAAUAAAGCAGCUACCAGAACCAGCUGCCACCCCCCAGAUGCUGAGCUCAGGUGUUGCAGGUUCUGGUGCCUGGGAGCAUGAGCACAGUGAGCAUUUCCCAGGGAGGCCCAACAGGAUAGUCCUUGUUCCAGGAAUUCAGCGAUGUUUUACAGCUGGAUGUAAAAGAAAAUUCAAAGCAUGCUAUGCUAUGAACAAUCGUUAUCCUGCUGUCUAAUUGGGGUCAAAACUCUGAAUUUAAGAGAUUAUUAACAGGAUGACUAAUACUAGCCAAAUUUGGGGAGAAAUUGGGGAGUGUAAACAGAAAUAUUUUCCAGCUCUACUACAUAAAAAUGUACUUGGAGGAUGCAAAAUCCAGUUUAUUUUGCAUUUAUGGAACUAAAUGAGAGGAUGUUGAGAGUUAUAAAAAGAAAGCAAAAAAUAAGUUUGACUAUUUGAAUUGUAAAAUAGAAUAAUAUAUAAUUUUAUUCUAUUGAUUUUUAAAACAAAAUUUAUUAAGAAUUCUAUAAUCCUAUGCAAGUUUUGAGAUUUAAAAAUCUACAACUAGAAGAUGUGCUUUGUUAUUCUUUUCUGAUACUGAUGUAUUUAUAACUGCCUUCUUCCUUCUUUGAAAAGAAAACUAUCCCAAUAAUAAAAUAUUAACUUAUUUAUUUUUAUUCUUUUUAUUUUUACUUUUUGUGGGUACAUAGUAUGUAUACAUUUAUAGGGUACAUGAUAUAUUUUGAUAUGGGCAUGCAAUGUGACCUAGUCGCAUCAGGGAGAAUUGGGUAUCCAUCCUCUCAAGCAUUUGUCCUUUGUAUUACAAACAAUCCAAUUACACUCUUUUAGUUAUUUUUAA
rnacentral:lncRNA from 10 species